rnacentral:rRNA from 1 species
CAGCAGCCGCGGGAAUACGAAGGGGGCUAGCGUUGCUCGGAACCACUGGGCGUAAAGGGUGCGUAGGCGGGCCUUUAAGUCAGGGGUGAAAUCCUGGAGCUCAACUCCAGAACUGCCUUUGAUACUGAAGAUCUUGAGUUCGGGAGAGGUGAGUGGAACUGCGAGUGUAGAGGUGAAAUUCGUAGAUAUUCGGAGGAACACCAGUGGCGAAGGCGGCUUACUGGCUCGAUACUGACGCUGAGGUGCGAAAGCGUGGGGAGCAAACAGGAUUAGAUACCCCCGUAGUCCCUGUCUCUUAUAA